rnacentral:rRNA from 1 species
CCUACGGGAGGCAGCAGUGGGGGAUAUUGCACAAUGGGGGAAACCCUGAUGCAGCGACGCCGCGUGUGGGAAGACGGUCCUCUGGAUUGUAAACCACUGUCCCCAGGGACGAAGAUGACGUUACCUGGGGCGGCAGCUCCGGCAAACUACGUGCCAGCAGCCGCGGUAAUACGUAGGGAGCGAGCGUUGUCCGGAAUUACUGGGUGUAAAGGGAGCGUAGGCGGGACUGCAAGUUGGGUGUCAAAUCUACCGGCUCAACCGGUAGCCGCAGUAAAAACUGCAGUUCUUGAGUGAAGGAGAGGCAGGCGGAAUGCGUAGUGUAGCGGUGAAAUGCGUAGAUAUUAGGAGGAACACCAGUGGCGAAGGCGGCCUGCUGGGCUUUGACUGACGCUGAGGCUCGAAAGUGUGGGGAGCGAACAGGAUUAGAUACCCCUGUAGUC